rnacentral:rRNA from 1 species
UACGUAGGUGGCGAGCGUUGUCCGGAUUUACUGGGCGUAAAGAGCGCGCAGGCGGCUGGUCAAGUCCGAUGUGAAAGCUCCCGGCUUAACUGGGAAAUUGCAUCGGAAACUGAUCGGCUGGAAGGUGGGAGAGGGUAGCGGAAUUCCCGGUGUAGUGGUGAAAUGCGUAGAUAUCGGGAGGAACACCAGUGGCGAAGGCGGCUUCCUGGCCUGUUCUUGACGCUGAGGCGCGAAAGCUAGGGGGAGCAAACGGG